rnacentral:rRNA from 1 species
GUCUUGAAACACGGACCAAGGAGCCUAUCAUAUACGCGAGUCGCUCGGUCUUGUACAGGCCAGAGAGGCGAAAUGAAAGUAAAGCUACGAGAUUUCGGUCGCAGUAGCGGCUCGCCUACUUUGUUUAUUGGCAAUCAGGCGAAGCUGGAGGGUAUACGAUGGUACCCGAAAGAUGGUGAACUAUGCCUGGGCAAGACGAAGCCAGAGGAAACUCUGGUGGAGGUCUGUAGCGAUUCUGACGUGCAAAUCGAU